rnacentral:rRNA from 1 species
AGAGUUUGAUCCUGGCUCAGGACGAACGCUGGCGGCGUGCCUAAUACAUGCAAGUAGAACGCUGAAGAGAGGAGCUUGCUCUUCUUGGAUGAGUUGCGAACGGGUGAGUAACGCGUAGGUAACCUGCCUUGUAGCGGGGGAUAACUAUUGGAAACGAUAGCUAAUACCGCAUAACAAUGGAUGACACAUGUCAUUUAUUUGAAAGGGGCAAUUGCUCCACUACAAGAUGGACCUGCGUUGUAUUAGCUAGUAGGUGAGGUAACGGCUCACCUAGGCGACGAUACAUAGCCGACCUGAGAGGGUGAUCGGCCACACUGGGACUGAGACACGGCCCAGACUCCUACGGGAGGCAGCAGUAGGGAAUCUUCGGCAAUGGGGGCAACCCUGACCGAGCAACGCCGCGUGAGUGAAGAAGGUUUUCGGACCGUAAAGCUCUGUUGUAAGUCAAGAACGAGUGUGAGAGUGGAAAGUUCACACUGUGACGGUAGCUUACCAGAAAGGGACGGCUAACUACGUGCCAGCAGCCGCGGUAAUACGUAGGUCCCGAGCGUUGUCCGGAUUUAUUGGGCGUAAAGCGAGCGCAGGCGGUUUGAUAAGUCUGAAGUUAAAGGCUGUGGCUCAACCAUAGUUCGCUUUGGAAACUGUCAAACUUGAGUGCAGAAGGGGAGAGUGGAAUUCCAUGUGUAGCGGUGAAAUGCGUAGAUAUAUGGAGGAACACCGGUGGCGAAAGCGGCUCUCUGGUCUGUAACUGACGCUGAGGCUCGAAAGCGUGGGGAGCGAACAGGAUUAGAUACCCUGGUAGUCCACGCCGUAAACGAUGAGUGCUAGGUGUUGGAUCCUUUCCGGGAUUCAGUGCCGCAGCUAACGCAUUAAGCACUCCGCCUGGGGAGUACGACCGCAAGGUUGAAACUCAAAGGAAUUGACGGGGGCCCGCACAAGCGGUGGAGCAUGUGGUUUAAUUCGAAGCAACGCGAAGAACCUUACCAGGUCUUGACAUCCCGAUGCUAUUUCUAGAGAUAGAAAGUUACUUCGGUACAUCGGUGACAGGUGGUGCAUGGUUGUCGUCAGCUCGUGUCGUGAGAUGUUGGGUUAAGUCCCGCAACGAGCGCAACCCCUAUUGUUAGUUGCCAUCAUUCAGUUGGGCACUCUAGCGAGACUGCCGGUAAUAAACCGGAGGAAGGUGGGGAUGACGUCAAAUCAUCAUGCCCCUUAUGACCUGGGCUACACACGUGCUACAAUGGUUGGUACAACGAGUUGCGAGUCGGUGACGGCAAGCUAAUCUCUUAAAGCCAAUCUCAGUUCGGAUUGUAGGCUGCAACUCGCCUACAUGAAGUCGGAAUCGCUAGUAAUCGCGGAUCAGCACGCCGCGGUGAAUACGUUCCCGGGCCUUGUACACACCGCCCGUCACACCACGAGAGUUUGUAACACCCGAAGUCGGUGAGGUAACCUUUUGGAGCCAGCCGCCUAAGGUGGGAUAGAUGAUUGGGGUGAAGUCGUAACAAGGUAGCC